rnacentral:rRNA from 1 species
UACGUAGGGGGCAAGCGUUGUCCGGAAUCAUUGGGCGUAAAGCGCGUGUAGGCGGCUCGGUAAGUCUGCUGUGAAAGUCCAGGGCUCAACCCUGGGAUGCCGGUGGAUACUGUCGAGCUCGAGUCCGGAAGAGGCGAGUGGAAUUCCUGGUGUAGCGGUGAAAUGCGCAGAUAUCAGGAGGAACACCAAUGGCGAAGGCAGCUCGCUGGGACGUGACGGACGCUGAGACGCGAAAGCGUGGGGAGCAAACAGG